UACGUAGGGGGCUAGCGUUGUCCGGAAUCAUUGGGCGUAAAGAGCGUGUAGGCGGCCAAGCAGGUCCGUUGUGAAAACUGGAGGCUUAACCUCCAGACGUCGACGGAAACCGCGUGGCUAGAGUCCGGAAGAGGAGAGUGGAAUUCCUGGUGUAGCGGUGAAAUGCGCAGAUAUCAGGAAGAACACCAAUGGCGAAGGCAGCUCUCUGGGACGGUACUGACGCUGAGGCACGAAAGCGUGGGGAUCAAACAGG
rnacentral:rRNA from 1 species